rnacentral:rRNA from 1 species
AUACGUAGGGUGCGAGCGUUGUCCGGAAUUACUGGGCGUAAAGAGCUCGUAGGUGGUUUGUCGCGUCGUCUGUGAAAUUCCGGGGCUUAACUCCGGGCGUGCAGGCGAUACGGGCAUAACUUGAGUACUGUAGGGUAGACUGGAAUUCCUGGUGUAGCGGUGAAAUGCGCAGAUAUCAGGAGGAACACCGGUGGCGAAGGCGGGUCUCUGGGCAGUAACUGACGCUGAGGAGCGAAAGCAUGGGUAGCGAACAGAAUUAGAUACCCUGGUAGUCCAUGCCGUAACGGUGGGCGCUAGGUGUAGGGGUCUUCCACGACUUCUGUGCCGUAGCUAACGCAUUAAGCGCCCCGCCUGGGGAGUACGGCCGCAAGGCUAAAACUCAAAUGAAUUGACGGGG